AAAAAACCCAAACAACAAAAAGCCCCCUACAAACUCGUUAAAACUUAAAUAUCGGAUAAUCUCAAACCAGCUUACUGCCUGCGCCUAUGCAUCUCCACCAGCCUUCACUCGAGGGACUCGGGCGCCUGAAAUCGGUUUCAUGCUUCUUGAAUUGGUAUGAUCGGAAAGUUAAGAAGCCAGAAAACGGAGAAGUGAAUGUCAUGUACCUCCCCAGACCUGGAGGGAAACAGAGCUGUGGCCAAAAGGAGUGGGUGUAAAUGCGACAACAAAAAUAAAUACUUUAUA